rnacentral:lncRNA from 1 species
GUUCUAGUGCAGACAUGAGUGAAAUGGUCUCCAUUUCUAAAUCAACAGCCUGCCACCACCUUCUGCAGUGGCUGAAUUUCCUGGGUGGUCUUUAAGAAUUGCCCCAGGAGGUAGGCAUGUCAUAGUCUAAUCCGGAUGUUACAAAGGGCACACACAUGCGAAGAGAAUAUUUUCAUGCCGAAGGACAACUGCACCUUCUCUAUCAGGAACACACAGGGGCGGCUGUUUGGGCUUUGAAGAGCAUUAUCAGUGAAGUCAAGUCACACAUUUCUCAAUGCCAGUGGGCAAACAGGGGAAGAAUGAAAGCCAGAGCCUGUAAAAGGAAUCGCUGGACGGCUCGAGGAGUGUAUAAAAUAUGCUCUAGAAUUUUCAGCCUCCUGCAGUGCAAGUGAUUAGCUAAAGAAACACUUUGAACCUGUUAGUUGUACAUCUUUUAAACCAUUUUAAAUUAUGGAAAAGACAGUGCUCAAGAAAUUAAUUAAAGUUUUGGACAAUAAUGCAAUCAGGGAUAUCUGUGUUUGCAGUCUUUUCUCUCUGCUUGCAUACAUCUUUCUCUGUCAAGUACAUCAAACAGCUAAUUAGCCCCAUUUUAAGAGCUUCACUGCUCACAUCACUUAAAAGGAUCUCCAGGCUGCCUUCUUAGAGAAUUCACGCUUACUGUGCAUUGGUUUCCUGAAUGCUUCAUAGACUUGGAAAGAAUCUAUUCCCACACAUUGGAGGAACUUUAGAAGUAGAUGGACUUUUUAUUUCCACAAAUCAAUUUCGCUUGUUUUCUCACUCAUGGUCAACAUUUUAUAAAUACUCUUGUAAGGGUUGAUAAACCUAUUUCACCUGGUAUGUGCUUGUUUUAGUUAAAUACCCUUGGGUUUGCUGAAGACAUCUGAAAAACAUUAGAAUGACUGCUUUUUAUUAAGACAUGUGGUACCAGAAAAAAAUUACGAGAGACGAAACUGUUGCUUUCAUUUAGGAUAAAGCGUUACCAUGACAAAAGUUGGGUGUUUCAAAUACCCAUUUUAGAAAUAACUACAGGUCACAUGAUCUACAGAUAUCACAUGUUAGCACAUGUUAAAAGUUAUAACCAUAACUAGAGACAGAAUUUCUGACUCACAGCUUCCAUUAAUCUGAACUAUCACAUGUCAUCUCAAGUUGACUAUAAAAAUAACUCAAGACGCCAGAGUGCUUCAAUUAACAGCUGAAAUAUUGUGAUAUUUUAACACAGGUGAUAUAAAGAAUCAGAGCCAUGAAUAGAUACAUGGCUAUGAGUUAUAGCUGUUUCCUUGCAGGUUUAACGUGGAGGGCAAAUGCAGAGAACGCUUUCCCUACUCAUAUGCCCAUCAAGCGGGAUACGUGCGGUUGGUUGAGGGAGGAGUGGAGGUGGAUUACACGUCUAUGGUUUCUUGAUCAUCUAAAAAUAUGUAUGAAUAUGACCUGAGGCAAGAAAGGUGGCAGGUAGUUCAAGAACACCCAAGAUGUUUGAAAGAGAGACUCUGGUAUCUUGAGCAGAACAAGGUACCCAGAGGAACCAAGUAAACCCUUGUAAAAUAAGAACAACCGUAUUAGGAGAUAUCCAUGGUGAACUUGGUAUGGUUUAAGCAUGAUUUUAGAUGUUGUAUUUACAUCUUUUUUACAGUUUUAUUGAAACAGAAUUGACAUACUGCACUGUAUUAGGUUGAACGGUACAGCAUGAUGAUUCAAAAAUUCUAAUACAUUAAUUCAUUGAAUCUUUACAACCACCUUUUGAGGUCAGUACCAUUAUUAUAUAUUAUCAUAAAUUUACCUAUGUAGACACUGAGCUGUAGAGAGUUUAAAUAACUUGUUCAAGGUCACAUAUCCACUAAAUGGUGGAUUUAAUUUUGACCCCAGGCAAUUGGGCUCUGGAAUGCUGCAUUCCUAAAAUCCUGAAGAAAGAAUAAAAGGAAGAAAUAAGAUGGGGAUGGGAAGAAGGGAGAGAAGAAAGGAGGACCAGAUAGAGGCUAGGAAAUAGCUAUUUGUUUAGGUGACACCUAAUACUACAAUUUUAAUGGAAGGUCAGAAUGUUUAAGGAGUAAAGGAAGGAAUGGUGGGAAGAAGAUUUCCCUGAGGAGUAUGAUAUUUGACCUAUGCUUUUGAAGUGAAUCAUGCUGGAUUUAAGACUUUUUUGCCUUAAAAUUUCAUUAAAACUUAACCCCUAACUAGUAUUAAUGCUUACUAAAGUAUAUUUUCAGACCAAGCAGAAAAUGAUUUCAACAAAAACAAAUAUUAUGGUUUCAAAGGAGAGGGAAUGAAAGCCAGGUUGAUACAUGAACUAUCCAAAUAAAGUGAAGAAAAAUAAAAACACAUGAACACUUAAAGUUUUACUCUUAUUUUACUAGGAGCAUGUUCCUAAGUCCCUAUAUUUCAAAAUUAUGCAGUCAAGACUUGAAGGUUGGCCUCAUGCAGUGUGCCUGAGAAGACCAAUAAAUAAAAAGCCAACUUCAAUGCUUAGCAAUAACACAAAAACAAAAUAUUUGUAGGGUGGUAGUUUACAGAAUGUGGACCUAUGUUUUACUGUGUUCUCUUUGGCUAAAUAAAGUUGUGAGAAACGAGUUUCCACUCCAUCUGGUUUUAGUGCUCUGAACUGGAGGUGUCUGAGCCUUGGGAUGUCUAAGCAAUGCAUAGUCAAAUAAGGGAUUUAGGGAUAGUUUGGGCUAGAGGCUACAUUAACUGUCAUUUAAUGCAACCAUCUGACUUUACGUAUUUAUUUUCUAGGUAAUUUAAAAAAUUUUUAAAAUUUUUAAAUUAAAUAUGUUUAUUCUACAAUGUUAUAUUAGUUUCAGGUGUAUAGCAAAGUGAUUCAGUUAUACAUAUACACAUAGCUAUUCUUUUUAAGGUUCUUUUCCAUUAUAGGUUAUUACAAGAUACCGAGUAUAGCUCCUUGUACUAUACAGUAGGUCCUUGUUGUUUAUCUGUUUUAUAUAUACUACCUGUAUCUUCUGAUUCCAAACUCCUAAUUUAUCCCUCCCCUAACCCCUUACACCUUUGGUAACCACAAGUUUGUUUUCUAUGUCUGUGAAUCUGUUU